GAUGAACGCUGGCGGCGUGCCUAAUACAUGCAAGUCGAGCGAACAGACGAGGAGCUUGCUCCUCUGACGUUAGCGGCGGACGGGUGAGUAACACGUGGAUAACCUACCUAUAAGACUGGGAUAACUUCGGGAAACCGGAGCUAAUACCGGAUAAUAUAUUGAACCGCAUGGUUCAAUAGUGAAAGACGGUUUUGCUGUCACUUAUAGAUGGAUCCGCGCCGCAUUAACUAGUUGGUAAGGUAACGGCUUACCAAGGCAACGAUGCGUAGCCGACCUGAGAGGGUGAUUCGCCACAAUUGAACUGAGGUACGGUUCAGACCCCCAAUGGAAGCAACAGUAGGGUAACUUCCCCAAGUGGCGAAAGCCUGACGUAGCAACGCCGCGUGAGUGAUGAAGGUCUUCGGAUCGUAAAACUCUGUUAUUAGGGAAGAACAAAUGUGUAAGUAACUAUGCACGUCUUGACGGUACCUAAUCAGAAAGCCACGGCUAACUACGUG
rnacentral:rRNA from 1 species